CCUACGGGAGGCAGCAGUGAGGAAUAUUGGUCAAUGGGCGGAAGCCUGAACCAGCCAAGUAGCGUGAAGGAUGACUGCCCUACGGGUUGUAAACUUCUUUUAUAAAGGAAUAAAGUGAGGCACGUGUGCCUUUUUGUAUGUAGUUUAUGAAUAAGGAUCGGCUAACGCCGUGCCAGCAGCCGCGGUAAUACGGAGGAUCCGAGCGUUAUCCGGAUUGAUUGGGUUUAAAGGGAGCGUAGCUGGGUUGUUAAGUCAGUUGUGAAAGUUUGCGGCUCAACCGUAAAAUGGCAAUUGAUACUGGCAGCCUUGAGUACAUUUGAGGUCGGCGGAAUUCGUGGUGUAGCGGU
rnacentral:rRNA from 1 species